rnacentral:ncRNA from 1 species
GGUUUAUUUGGCUUUGGUUAUUAUAUAAGUUAUUAUUAAAUUAUAUAUGUUAGGUUUGUGUGUGUUAAACGUUUUAUCUAUUUAUUUGUUUAUUUGGUUUAUUUAAUAUAAAUUAAGUAGAUAUAUAUUAUUUUUAGUUUUUUAUUAUAAUGAUAAUUAUGGAUUACGCAGUAUUUAUUAUUAUACAAUGAAUGAGAGUUUGAUAUAGUUAUUAUAAAGAAAAGUGGUUAAAUUAGUGCCAGCAGCUGCGGUUAUACUAAUACUUUGAAUUUAUAUUUAUAUAGUAUAAAAUAAAGUAAUUAGGUUUGAUUAUUAAUAUUUAGAUUAGUUGAGGGCGAUGAUUGUAGGUAAAAUUUAAUUGUUGUUAUUGAUUGAAUUAUUCUAAUUAUAUAUUCUUUGAAAGUAAGAAGGAAAACUAGGAUUAGAUACCCUAUUAUUCUUUAUUUUAAAAAUUUUAUUACUUGAGUAGUGUGAACAUAGUAUUUAGUUGUAGAAAGUAGUUUUAAUUUUAUGUUUGAAACUUAAAAGGCUUGGCGGUGUUAUAUACCCUUCCAGAGGAGUUUGCUUAUUAAUUUGAUAAUCCUCAAUUUAUACUUACUUUUUUUUGAAUAUAUAUAAAUCAGUUUGUAUAUUGCUGUCAUCAGUUUAUUUUGUAAAAAUUUUGUAAGAAACUUAAUAAUUAGUUGGUUAUAAGGUCAAGUCAAAAUGCAGCUAAUAAAAAAGGUUUAUAAAGUGAACUACUAUUUAAAAUUUUUAAUCGGAUUGAAUUAUGUAAUUGGUUUAUAAAGUAGGAUUUGGUAGUAAUAUUAUAAUAGUGAGUUUUUAUGAAUUAGGUUUUAUAAUGCGUACAUAUCGCCCGUCGCUCUUGUUGGAAAAUAAGAUAAGUCGUAACAGAGUAGAUGUAGUGGAAGCUGUUUCUGGAAUGUA